UUGAUCCUGGCUCAGAAUCAACGCUGGCGGCGUGCCUAACACAUGCAAGUCGAACGAGAAAGUGGAGCAAUCCAUGAGUAAAGUGGCGACCGGGUGAGUUACACGUGACCAAUCUACCCUUGAGUGGGGGAUAACCUCGGGAAACCGGGUCUAAUACCGCAUAACAUCUCUGGAUCGGAAGAACUGGAGAUCAAAGGAGUAAUUCGCUUAAGGAGGAGGUCGCGGCUGAUUAGCUAGUUGGCGGGGUAAUGGCCCACCAAGGCAAAGAUCGGUAGCCGGCCUGAGAGGGCGCACGGCCAUACUGGAACUGAAACACGGUCCAGACUCCUACGGGAGGCAGCAGUGGGGAUUUUUGCGCAAUGGGGGAAACCCUGACGCAGCAACGCCGCGUGGAGGAUGUAGUCCCUUGGGACGUAAACUCCUUUCGACCCGGAAGAUAAUGACGGUACUGGUGGAAGAAGCCCCGGCUAACUUCGUGCCAGCAGCCGCGGUAAUAAGGU
rnacentral:rRNA from 1 species